rnacentral:rRNA from 1 species
AAUAGAUACCCGGGUAGUCCACGCCGUAAACGAUGAGUGCUAAGUGUUAGGGGGUUUCCGCCCCUUAGUGCUGCAGCUAACGCAUUAAGCACUCCGCCUGGGGAGUACGGUCGCAAGACUGAAACUCAAAGGAAUUGACGGGGGCCCGCACAAGCGGUGGAGCAUGUGGUUUAAUUCGAAGCAACGCGAAGAACCUUACCAGGUCUUGACAUCCCGUUGACCGCUCUAGAGAUAGAGUUUUCCCUUCGGGGACAACGGUGACAGGUGGUGCAUGGUUGUCGUCAGCUCGUGUCGUGAGAUGUUGGGUUAAGUCCCGCAACGAGCGCAACCCUUGUUCUUAGUUGCCAUCAUUCAGUUGGGCACUCUAAGGAGACUGCCGCAGACAAUGCGGAGGAAGGUGGGGAUGACGUCAAAUCAUCAUGCCCCUUAUGACCUGGGCUACACACGUGCUACAAUGGACGGUACAAACGGUUGCCAAGUCGCGAGACGGAGCCAAUCCGAGAAAACCGUUCUCAGUUCGGAUUGCAGGCUGC